rnacentral:rRNA from 1 species
GCCUGUAAUCCGAAUGCUCUGAUCUCAUCUGAUUGUGGAAGCUAAGCAGGGUUGGGCCUGGUUAGUACUUGGAUGGGAGACCGCCUGGGAAUACCAGGUGCUGUAGGCU